UACAGAGGGUGCAAGCGUUGUUCGGAAUUACUGGGCGUAAAGGGCGCGUAGGCGGCCUGUUAAGUCGAACGUGAAAUCCCCGGGCUCAACCCGGGAACUGCGUCCGAUACUGGCAGGCUUGAAUUCGGGAGAGGGAUGCGGAAUUCCAGGUGUAGCGGUGAAAUGCGUAGAUAUCUGGAGGAACACCGGUGGCGAAGGCGGCAUCCUGGACCGAGAUUGACGCUGAGGCGCGAAAGCCAGGGGAGCAAGCGGG
rnacentral:rRNA from 1 species